GAACGUAGUACUUAUAGUUUGAGAAGC
rnacentral:sRNA from 1 species